UGCCCCAUGGCUGAGUUGGUUACAGCGUCCGACUGUUAUUUCAAUGGCAUCGGAAGGUCGUGAGUUCGAGCCUCACUGGGGCAG